UACGUAGGCACCAAGCGUUGUCCGGAUUUAUUGGGCGUAAAGAGCUCGUAGGCGGUUCGGUAAGUCGGGUGUGAAACCUCCAGGCUCAACCUGGAGACGCCACCCGAUACUGCCGUGACUAGAGUCCAGUAGGGGAGCGUGGAAUUCCUGGUGUAGCGGUGAAAUGCGCAGAUAUCAGGAGGAACACCAAUGGCGAAGGCAGCUCGCUGGGACGGUACUGACGCUGAGGCGCGAAAGCGUGGGGAGCAAACAGG
rnacentral:rRNA from 1 species